CUUGACUCCAAAUCCCCAGGACCUGACUCCAAAUCCCAAGCUCCUUCCAUAUCAUCAUUUUUAGCUCAACAAGAAUAGGAAGGGAUCAUUCACAAUAGCCAAAAAUCAGAAACAAUUCAAAUGUCCAUCAAUUGGUGAAUGGAUGAACACAAUGUGGUGUAUCCAGACAAUGGGAUCCUGUUUGUUAACAUGCUACAACAUGUGUGAACCUCAAACACAUUAGGUUAAGUGAACCUCAAACACAUUAGGUUAAGUGAAAGAUGCCAAACACAAAAGAUCACAAAUUGUAUAAUUCCAUUUAUAUAGAAUAUCCAGACAAAGUGAACAUUGAGAGACUGAAAACAGAUUAGAGGUUGCUUGGGGCUAGAGCAUAGGGACAAAGGUUGACUACAAAUGGGCACAAGGGAUCUUUUUGAGAUCAUGGAAAUGUUCUAAAAUUGGUUUGUGGUGAUAGUUGCACAACUCAGUAAAUUUACUAGAAGAAAAAAAAUCAUUGAACGUUACACUUAAGGUAGGUGAGUUAUAUGAUAUGUAAAUUUCACCUCAAUAUGUCUCCUUAAAAAAAAAUAAUGACAGGAGGAGCAUGUGUCUUACUGGCAGAGAAUGCCAUGUUUACAACCUCACAGAGAGGCCCAGCACAACAAUGGAAUCAUCUGGCUCGGAGGAAAGCACUUGGUUUUUGUGCUGGCAGCACAUGAUUUAUUGGUUUUGCCCUGCUGAUAAGGCCAUUAAAAGCAGAUGAUGACACAUUCUUCAAGGGCAACACAAAGCCUGCUGCCUUCACCAGUCUUACUGGACCUCAACCCGAACACAUGUAGCUUGUUCUGCCAGCCUCUGACAUUUUCAUUUUGUUUGUAAUAUAACUUUUCCACCUUUUAAAAAUAUGUAUUUUAGAAAACAAAUGCAAUAAAACAUGUAGAUUGGAGAGCUAAAAGUGAAAGUUUCCAGUCCUGUUAAGGGCAGGAAUUGGCAAGGGAUCAUGUUACCAGUGGGAUGGGUCUUUUGUAACUUCUCUGAAAACCAGCUCUGAUUCACUGAGGAUGCCUUAGAAAGGAGAACAAAGAGAAACUGGGGACUCCCGGCCGGGGGGAAUCAGAGAAGGCAAAUAUUCAACAAGCCCUAGAUCUCAAGAACACAGGGCGCUGUGGAAGUAAAGGUCAGUUAGGAGCUGUGAGUCUGUGUGAAAAGAGAGUGCCUUUGAUAUUCGGGACCUGGAGUCUUCUAAAGUGACAGUUGUCAUGACCCUGAGGAGGGAACCAUACCAAGGAGAUCGCUGUCUUGGGUGCUCACCUUCCACAUCAUUCUUCUUAAUACUACAGCGAACAACUCUGUCCAAACUUGUCAGACCAACACUCGGGGUUUCAGGACAGGUAAUUGCUGAAAUGAAUGGAAGACCUUCUACUCCACCUCUAGGAAAAUUUCCUUUAUGAAAAUUUUAGGUGAG
rnacentral:lncRNA from 10 species